rnacentral:rRNA from 1 species
UACGUAGGUGGCAAGCGUUGUCCGGAAUUAUUGGGCGUAAAGCGCGCGCAGGCGGUCCUUUAAGUCUGAUGUGAAAGCCCACGGCUCAACCGUGGAGGGUCAUUGGAAACUGGGGGACUUGAGUGCAGGAGAGAAGAGUGGAAUUCCACGUGUAGCGGUGAAAUGCGUAGAGAUGUGGAGGAACACCAGUGGCGAAGGCGACUCUUUGGCCUGUAACUGUCGCUGAGGCGCGAAAGCGUGGGGAGCAAACAGG